rnacentral:rRNA from 1 species
GCAUAUCAAUAAGCGGAGGAAAAGAAACCAACAGGGAUUGCCUUAGUAACGGCGAGUGAAGCGGCAACAGCUCAAAUUUGAAAUCUGGCCUCUUUGGGGUCCGAGUUGUAAUUUGGAGAGGAUGUUUCGGGUACGGUCCGGGCUUAAAUUUCUUGGAACAGAAUGUCAAAGAGGGUGAGAAUCCCGUCUGGAGCUCGGACACGGCCUAUGUGAAACUCCUUCGACGAGUCGAGUUGUUUGGGAAUGCAGCUCUAAAUGGGUGGUAAAUUUCAUCUAAAGCUAAAUAUUGGCCAGAGACCGAUAGCGCACAAGUAGAGUGAUCGAAAGAUGAAAAGCACUUUGAAAAGAGAGUUAAAAAGUACGUGAAAUUGUUGAAAGGGAAGCGCUGGCAACCAGACUUGCGCGUCGGGGUUCCCCCUUGCUUCUGCCUGGGUUACUCCCCGGCGUUCAGGCCAACAUCGGUUUCGGGGGUUGGUUAAAGGCCCUGGGAAUGUACUUACCCUCCGGGGUAAACUUAUAGCCCAGGGUGUCAUGCGACCUCCCGGGACCGAGGAACGCGCUUCGGCUCGGAUGUUGGCGUAAUGGUUGUCAGCGACCCGUCUUGAAACACGGACCAAGGAGUCUAACAUCUAUGCGAGUGUUAGGGUGUCAAACCCUUACGCGGAAUGAAAGUGAACGGAGGUAGGAAGCCGUUAGGCUGCACUAUCGACCGAUCCUGAAGUUUACGGAUGGAUUUGAGUAAGAGCAUAGCUGUUGGGACCCGAAAGAUGGUGAACUAUGCCUGAAUAGGGUGAAGCCAGAGGAAACUCUGGUGGAGGCUCGCAGCGGUUCUGACGUGCAAAUCGAUCGUCAAAUUUGGGUAUAGGGGCGAAAGACUAAUCGAACCAUCUGGUAGCUGGUUCCUGCCGAA